rnacentral:misc_RNA from 1 species
GAUGAAGAACGUAGCGAAAUGCGAUAAGUAAUGUGAAUUGCAGAAUUCAGUGAAUCAUCGAAUCUUUGAACGCACAUUGCGCCCGCCAGUAUUCUGGCGGGCAUGCCUGUUCGAGCGUCAUUUCAACCAUCAAGCCCCCGGCUUGUGUUGGGGACCUGCGGCUGCCGCAGGCCCUGAAAACCAGUGGCGGGCUCGCUGUCACACCGAGCGUAGUAGAUUUUCAUCUCGCUCAGGGCGUGCUGCGGGUUCCGGCCGUAAAAAGCCUUAUUUACCCAAGGUUGACCUCGGAUCAGGUAGGAAGACCCGCUGAACUUAAGCAUAUCAAUAAGCGGAGGA